rnacentral:rRNA from 1 species
UACGUAGGCAGCAAGCGUUGUUCGGAGUUACUGGGCGUAAAGAGUGCGUAGGCGGUUUCGUAAGUUUGGUGUGAAAUCUCCCGGCUUAACUGGGAGGGUGCGCCGAAAACUGCGGGGCUGGAGUGUGGGAGAGGUAAGCGGAAUUCCUGGUGUAGCGGUGAAAUGCGCAGAUAUCAGGAGGAACACCAAUGGCGAAGGCAGCACUCUGGGACGUGACUGACGCUGAGACGCGAAAGCGUGGGGAGCAAACGGG